GACGAACGCUGGCGGCGUGCUUAACGCAUGCAAGUCGAACGGAAAGGCCCUGCUUUUGUGGGGUGCUCGAGUGGCGAACGGGUGAGUAACACGUGAGUAACCUGCCCUUGACUUUGGGAUAACUUCAGGAAACUGGGGCUAAUACCGGAUAGGAGCUCCUGCUGCAUGGUGGGGGUUGGAAAGUUUCGGCGGUUGGGGAUGGACUCGCGGCUUAUCAGCUUGUUGGUGGGGUAGUGGCUUACCAAGGCUUUGACGGGUAGCCGGCCUGAGAGGGUGACCGGCCACAUUGGGACUGAGAUACGGCCCAGACUCCUACGGGAGGCAGCAGUGGGGAAUAUUGCCCAAUGGGCGGAAGCCGGAUGCGGCAACGCCGCGUGCGUGAUGACGGCCUUCGGGUUGUAAACCGCUUUCGCCUGUGACGAAGCGUGAGUGACGGUAAUGGGUAAAGAAGCACCGGCUAACUACGUG
rnacentral:rRNA from 1 species